GGCCAGACUCCUACGGGAGGCAGCAGUGGGGAAUAUUGGGCAAUGGACGCAAGUCUGACCCAGCAACGCCGCGUGAAGGAAGAAGGCUUUCGGGUUGUAAACUUCUUUUAAGGGGGAAGAGGAGAAGACGGUACCCCUUGAAUAAGCCACGGCUAACUACGUGCCAGCAGCCGCGGUAAUACGGGGGAUGCAAGCGUUAUCCGGAUUUAUUGGGUUUAAAGGGUGCGUAGGCUGUGAGGUAAGUCAGCGGUGAAAUGCCCCCGCUCAACGGGGUGAAGUGCCAUUGAUACUGCCUUGCUGGAAUGCGGAUGCCGUGGGAGGAAUGUGUGGUGUAGCGGCGAAAUGCAUAGAUAUCACACAGAACACCGAUUGCGAAGGCAUCUCACGAAUCCGCGAUUGACGCUGAUGCACGAAAGCGUGGGUAUCAAACAGGAUUAGAUACCCCGGUAU
rnacentral:rRNA from 1 species